rnacentral:rRNA from 1 species
AUGAAUCACAUCUUGGCUAUAUAUAUGCGGAUAUUGGAAGGGGAAGGCGCGACCAAACAAAGCAUAGGCAUGGCCAUGGGAGCAUGGUGGGUGAUGAAGAAGAGCUUACUAGUGAAGCUGAGUGUGUAUCUGCUGAUCAUCGCCAUGGCUAACUGCGCUCGGGAUAACCCUGACUCUGUUGCCAACCGCUCUCCCGUAUCUAUAUACACCUGCGACGACAUUAGCGAGACGUGGCACGGAGGGUUGUGCGCCAAGCACGGCACCUGUAACAAGCCGUGCCGGACGGAAGAGUAUGACUCGGGCUUCUGUGCCGCCUUCCCCUUCCUGUUCUACUGCUGCUGCAAGAAGAACUAUCCCGAGGCUCUGCAGCCACGCAGGAGGAGCUUCGUGUGCGGAUAA